AGGGUUGUGGCUCAAUGGUAGAGCACUUGCCUCUCAUAUAUGAGGCUCUGUGUUCAAUCCUCAGCACCACUU
rnacentral:tRNA from 1 species